CCCUUAGAUGUUCUGGGCCGCACGCGUGCUACACUGAGUGGAUCAGCGGGUCAGGUUGCGCGAAAGCGUUUCCUAAUCUUUAAAUCCGCUCGUGAUGGGGAUUGACGGUUGCAAUUUUCUGUCAUGAACGAGGAAUACCUUGUAAGCGCGGGUCAUCAUCCCGCGCUGAAUACGUCCCUGCCCUUUGUACACACCGCCCGUCGCUCCUACCGAUUGAGUGGUCCGGUGAGGCUUUGGGAUCUGAGCGGAAAGAGCGUUUCGCUGUUUCUGCUCGGAAAACUCAGUCGAACCUUAUCAUUUAGAGGAAGGAGAAUUCGUAACA
rnacentral:rRNA from 1 species